rnacentral:ncRNA from 1 species
CAAGGGCCCCAUGACUGGCGGCUAUAUGUGGAAUUGACCACAGGGGAGUGGGGCCAAUAGGAAUGCCGGCCGCCUGGGCAAAUUGC